AUUGAACGCUGGCGGCAGGCUUAACACAUGCAAGUCGAACGAUGAGUCUCUAGCUUGCUAGAGAUGAUUAGUGGCGGACGGGUGAGUAACAUUUAGGAAUCUACCUAGUAGUGGGGGAUAGCUCGGUGAAACUCGAAUUAAUACCGCAUACGACCUACGGGUGAAAGGGGGCGCAAGCUCUUGCUAUUAGAUGAGCCUAAAUCAGAUUAGCUAGUUGGUGGGGUAAAGGCCCACCAAGGCGACGAUCUGUAACUGGUCUGAGAGGAUGAUCAGUCACACCGGAACUGAGACACGGUCCGGACUCCUACGGGAGGCAGCAGUGGGGAAUAUUGGACAAUGGGGGCAACCCUGAUCCAGCCAUGCCGCGUGUGUGAAGAAGGCCUUUUGGUUGUAAAGCACUUUAAGCAGGGAGGAGAGGCUAAUGGUUAAUACCCAUUAGAUUAGACGUUACCUGCAGAAUAAGCACCGGCUAACUCUGUG
rnacentral:rRNA from 1 species